rnacentral:rRNA from 1 species
AUUGAACGCUGGCGGCAGGCCUAACACAUGCAAGUCGAGCGGAUGAAGGGAGCUUGCUCCUGGAUUCAGCGGCGGACGGGUGAGUAAUGCCUAGGAAUCUGCCUGGUAGUGGGGGAUAACGUCCGGAAACGGGCGCUAAUACCGCAUACGUCCUGAGGGAGAAAGUGGGGGAUCUUCGGACCUCACGCUAUCAGAUGAGCCUAGGUCGGAUUAGCUAGUUGGUGGGGUAAAGGCCUACCAAGGCGGCGAUCCGUAACUGGUCUGAGAGGAUGAUCAGUCACACUGGAACUGGGACACGGUCCAGACUCCUACGGGAGGCAGCAGUGGGGAAUAUUGGACAAUGGGCGAAAGCCUGAUCCAGCCAUGCCGCGUGUGUGAAGAAGGUCUUCGGAUUGUAAAGCACUUUAAGUUGGGAGGAGGGGCAGUAAGUUAAUACCUUGCUGUUUUGACGUUACCAACAGAAUAAGCACCGGCUAACUUCGUG